UCAUAUGCACAUUCCUACAAUGUUAAUGCAUUGGAUCCCAUCAUAACUCCAAAGUUAAUAAUUCUUGGGCUAGAGUAGUACUGGGAUGGGUGAUCUCCCAGGAAGUCCUAGUGUUUUACAUGCC
rnacentral:rRNA from 1 species